rnacentral:rRNA from 1 species
GACGAACGCUGGCGGCGUGCCUAAUACAUGCAAGUAGAACGCUGAAGAGAGGAGCUUGCUCUUCUUGGAAGAGUUGCGAACGGGUGAGUAACGCGUAGGUAACCUGCCUUGUAGCGGGGGAUAACUAUUGGAAACGAUAGCUAAUACCGCAUAACAAUGGGUGACCCAUGUCAUUCAUUUGAAAGGGGCAACUGCUCCACUACAAGAUGGACCUGCGUUGUAUUAGCUAGUAGGUGAGGUAACGGCUCACCUAGGCGACGAUACAUAGCCGACCUGAGAGGGUGAUCGGCCACACUGGGACUGAGACACGGCCCAGACUCCUACGGGAGGCAGCAGUAGGGAAUCUUCGGCAAUGGGGGCAACCCUGACCGAGCAACGCCGCGUGAGUGAAGAAGGUUUUCGGAUCGUAAAGCUCUGUUGUAAGUCAAGAACGAGUGUGAGAGUGGAAAGUUCACACUGUGACGGUAGCUUACCAGAAAGGGACGGCUAACUACGUGCCAGCAGCCGCGGUAAUACGUAGGUCCCGAGCGUUGUCCGGAUUUAUUGGGCGUAAAGCGAGCGCAGGCGGUUUGAUAAGUCUGAAGUUAAAGGCUGUGGCUCAACCAUAGUUCGCUUUGGAAACUGUCAAACUUGAGUGCAGAAGGGGAGAGUGGAAUUCCAUGUGUAGCGGUGAAAUGCGUAGAUAUAUGGAGGAACACCGGUGGCGAAAGCGGCUCUCUGGUCUAUAACUGACGCUGAGGCUCGAAAGCGUGGGGAGCGAACAGG